rnacentral:rRNA from 1 species
AGAUCGAACUAUAGAGUUUGAUCCUGGCUCAGAUUGAACGCUGGCGGCAUGCUUUACACAUGCAAGUCGAACGGUAACAGGUCUUCGGAUGCUGACGAGUGGCGAACGGGUGAGUAAUACAUCGGAACGUGCCUAGUAGUGGGGGAUAACUACUCGAAAGAGUAGCUAAUACCGCAUGAGAUCUACGGAUGAAAGCAGGGGACCUUCGGGCCUUGUGCUACUAGAGCGGCUGAUGGCAGAUUAGGUAGUUGGUGGGGUAAAAGCUUACCAAGCCUGCGAUCUGUAGCUGGUCUGAGAGGACGACCAGCCACACUGGGACUGAGACACGGCCCAGACUCCUACGGGAGGCAGCAGUGGGGAA